GUAGGUGGCAAGCGUUGUCCGGAAUUAUUGGGCGUAAAGCGCGCGCAGGCGGUCCUUUAAGUCUGAUGUGAAAGCCCACGGCUCAACCGUGGAGGGUCAUUGGAAACUGGGGGACCUGAGUACAGAAGAGGAAAGCGGAAUUCCAAGUGUAGCGGUGAAAUGCGUAGAGAUUUGGAGGAACACCAGUGGCGAAGGCGGCUUUCUGGUCUGUAACUGACGCUGAGGCGCGAAAGCGUGGGGAGCAAACAGGGAUUAGAUACCCUGGUAGUCCACGCCGUAAACGAUGAGUGCUAAGUGUUAGGGGGGGUUUCCCGCCCCCUUAGUGCUGCAGCUAACGCAUUAAGCACUCCGCCUGGGGAGUACGGCCCGCAAGGCUG
rnacentral:rRNA from 1 species